GGCGGCGGCUGCUCCCCUCGGCGGCUGGGCGCGGCGCGGGCUCCGGCGGCAGGAAGGGAAGCGGCGAGGGCGCGAGCCGGGCGGAAACGCUGCGACGUCACGGCCGCCGGGGCCCGGAGGAGGAAGCGGUUGCUAUGGGGUUUUUCACUACCUACUUUGGUGCGAUCUCAGCCAGCCACUCGUGAUUGGCUGGCGCCGGCCGCGGCGAGCUGAGGAAACCCUGUGCAACGAGCCCGGCCCAGACAAAGCGCCCGCCGCUGCUGCUGCUGGGGAGCCCGCCCCGAAAUGCUGAAAAAAAAAACACACUAAAAAACACAAUAAAAAUAAUACAAAUA